CUUCAGAGGAGUGUGGAGCAACUUGGUAAUAUUUGAUCGUAUUUGUUGGUAUUAUAACAUACCGGGUUAGCGUUUACUUAGUUAAAUUGCGCUAUUUUGUGAAAAGGAGUAUUGCAGUUGAAUUGUAUACUGUGAGUUUUCAGAUAAACAGCCAAAUCGUGUCUCUUACGGCAAUGAAUCUUACAUAUGUCUUUUACACGAUCUGUAUUGUAUCGAUAAUUCGUUGUCAAUUCGUGUCGGGGAAAGAGUGUUUGCUGAUUCAUGCAUUGUUUGAUGGACACAAUGUUACUUUAACGUUCACAACGCGACAAAACCAAACUUAUGGGAAUCCUGAAGUAAAACCAAAUAAUGCAUUCCAUUGCGAGUGGAUUUAUGAUAGAUCUAAUAAUGCCUACACAUGUGUGAGUUUUAACUAUUCACAAACUCACAAGGGCUACGUUCAAGUGGCAUAUGGUCCAUGUACUUCGCAAUGGGUUUGGUUGGAUCUUACAGCAAGCCCAGCUCUAGGACCAAGGCAGAAUGUUGACGGUUGCGAGGAUUGUUUGAUAGCUGCAAUUGGAGAAUGGAAAGAUAUUAGCUGUUCUUUAUCGACAUACAUGCAUCAGACAUGGAAUGUUACUAUAACAAUUAAUAAUAACACAUCAAAUGCGCUAAAAUACUCGACCGAACGCUAUAGAUACAGAGUGAUCUAUAACGUAAAGGACAUUGAUCAUAUGGCCAUUGUUGUGUGCACUAUGGCUUCCACAUUCAUAACGUUGAUUGACAUAACAAGACUUUAUGUAAAAGGCACGCAGGCGUCUCAGUUACCGUUUUCAACACAUGUUGUCUCGAAUGUUGUUAACCCCAAAACCACCAAAUCAGCUCUAAGGAUAUCGACACAAAUCAAAGAGACAAGUACAGGCACGCUGACUUCUCAAUUACCGUUUUCAACACAUGUGGUCUCGAGUGAUGGUAGCCCCAAAACCACCAAAUCAGCUUUUACAAUAUCGACACUAAUCACAGAGCCAAGUAAAGGCAGGCUGACUUCUCAGUUACCGUUUUCAACACUUGUAGUCUCGAGUGAUGGUAGCCCCAAAACCACCAAAUCAGCUCUGACGAUACCGACACCAAUCAAAGAGACAAGUACAGAUAUGUUGAAACUGAGACACAUUUUCUCCGCUGUUUAUGCCCCCGAAGGAGGGCAGGUAGUGAUCGCACUGUCCGUCUGUCAGUCUGUCAGUCCGACCGUCCGUCUGUCCGUCACACUUUGCGUUUAGGUUUCGAAAAAUGCUCAUAACUUCUAUUUCCCUUCAGAUAUAACAUUCAUAUUUGGUAGGCAUGUGUAUAUGGACAAUGCCUAUCCAUACGCUCACACAUUUUGACAAAUUUUGACAUAUUGUUCAAACAUAACGGACUUUUGCUUUCGGAGUCGCUUUAAUUUUUUUGGUUAAUAAAUAGAUGUUAAUUAUUCGUGUAUUUUUGAAUAUUUGCAUCAAAAAUACCAUACAUGUGUGUAUGUGAAUAUGUAUUGUCUUAAAGGUAGAUUAACUUCUUAGUUAAAGCCUACAAAACAUGAAUGCGAGAGUGUUUUUAGUGAACAACAAUCGACGAUUCAUUUUACCGUAACCAAAAUUAGUCGUCUAACGUUAUUCGAACAAAUCACACUGCGAAUAUUUGGUUCGUUUGCAGAAAUAAUAACAGUUUUCCUGGAAUGUAAAUAGUGCAAAUAAAGCGAGACUUUGCUUUCUUCCAUUAAUGAAAGCACUUACUCAGCCUAAUUGUUUUGCAAUUAGCUGAAAUAUAUUUAUGAAUUCCUAAACGUUAAUGCUCUUUCGUAUUGUUUAUUAAAUGCCAUAUUAGGAGGAAUAAUUGUAUACUAUUUUCUUUGCUUUUUAUGUGGCACAUACAUAUACAACGCAUUCAGAGAAGACAAUACACACAGAUGGGGUCACUGCCAUUGCAAGUACAAAUCAACCAUCAACAAUACAAGACAAAGCAAAUGCUCACGGGGAAGUACUUAUCGAAAACACAGAAACCGUUGUUUUGACUACGAGAGCGAAAAAGGAUGGACAACAUCUGAUAAUUAUUGCAAGCGUAUGCGGUGUCAGUGUGUUAAUCAUCGUCGUGAUAAUUGUGAUUGUUGUCUUGUAUGUUACACGGAAAGGUCAAACAACAGAGCCAGAGGACAAAUAGUUGAAGAAGAAGGCUAUGCUAGCAUCGACGGUGCCGAGUGUCAAUACGCCGUGGUAAACAAAUCCACGACAUUGUUGACAACAGAACCAAUUCUCGCGCCACCUGUGGAAAAUAAAUCGAUGGAAAUCCAGCCCCAGCCCAAGACAACCCCUGGAGCCGGCGAACUCAUUUAUAUCGAGCUGGACCUAGAAGCUUUGUCAGCAAAGCCGACCCAUCCAAAAACGGCUGGUACGUUGCAAAGGCCCAGCACACCGACAGAGUAUGUCGACAUUGACUUCGCGAGAACACUGGCUUUGGCUUUGGAGGAUGCAAAUACGGAUGAUAAAUAGAAUAUAUAUUAAACAGGUUCUCAUCAGUUCAUCGGGUAACUAAAACUUACCAACGCGAUUUAUUAUUGCAAUUGCCGUGUAGGUGGUCAGUAUAAUAUCCAUGGACAGAAGUUCUACUCUAUUCGAAUUCCUCACAUGGUUUUCACAUAUUUGUUUUGACACAUAAGAGGUCAGGGCGAUUACAAAUUAAAUUUGAUUGAUUUACCUAUUGUUUUAUAGCGGAACCACAUAUGCAAGCAUUGUAGAUAUGACAAAUGCAUAAAACCGCAUUGAAAAGUGAAAAUGAGACAAAAGGUAGAAAUAUCGUAAUCAUUUUAAAGAUAACUAUAUUAACUUGUAUCGGCAUUUUCCUUAUUCUGAAUAUUAUCGUUCAUAUUAAUGCAUAUAUGAUGGAUAUACUUUCGAGCGUCGGCUUGUUUCAAUUGUACUUGAAAGUUUAUUUCAAUCUAAUGUUACAAGUGUACGCAAUGUUUAGGUCAAGUACACUUCUAAAAUGCAAUGUCACACUUGUGUAUUCAGCAACUGUUAUGCCAUUUUAAGGAAUAUCCUUUUUAUGAUUAUUUUAGAAUGUGUAUUAUUUACAACUAUUUAAAUCAUUAUUGCAAUUAGUACUCUUGAAAACCUUUCGUGCUUCUCUUACUUGUUAAAUAGCGAUGCUCAAUACUGGAGAAAGCUUCAGAUAUCUUUAGCCCGUCUUUAGAAAAGUAGACCUACUGGUUACAUUUGUUAACAAAAACAGGUUCGAUGACUCAGACAAUUACUGAAUACCAUGUUUUUAAUAUGAAGCGAUUGUAAUUGUUGUAGUGUUACUUUAUAUAAACAACUAUUUUGAUUAUGACGCACACAAUUACUGAAUACCAUGGUCAAAAUAUGAAGCGAUUGUAAUUGUUGUAGUUUUACGUUAAUAUAAACAACUAUUUUGAUUAUGAGAUUAAUACUUUUUGCAAUCGUGUUUGUGUUUAUUUGAAACUAAACGUUCUAUAUAUCGCAACUUAUUAUAAUUCAAGUGUUGUUUGCACAUAAUAUUCCAAAUUUUAGGUUAUGUUCAUGUUUCGAUAAAUAUGAUACAAAACUUUCUUUGAUGCAAAUCAUCUAGAAAAGUCAUGUUGCGUAACAAUCAUGAAUGUAGUGUGACAUUUUGCAAGAUGAGUCAUUAAAAGCAUUAAUAUGCGACAAGUAUAAGCUUUUUGACAGAUGCUUGAUGUGUUGUGUUUUGUUUGCUUAUUCUGUUUGUGUUUAGCUCAUUGUAUGUAUGUCUUAAUUAGCCUUUGUGUUUUAUAUAAAACUUUAAUUGAUUAAAGCUAUU